GUCGAAGGGCUCCUCCUGCUCCAGACCUCGCAGUGCGCCCGCCGUCUGCGCCAGGGCGAGUCUGCCCCUUCCCAAACCUGCGGGAGCGGAGCCAGAAUUGACGCAUCGGAGAAAGAGCGGAGGAAGGGGGCCCUUGGGAACAUAUUUUACUGUAAGGAAAAAAAAUGAAGCGAUGAUCAAGAGGUGCCUUCGUGCUGGGAAAACCAGAUUCCGUGCAGGCUGGGGAGGCCAUUCUGCCAUGGCGGCCCCUUGGCACGGCAGCUGCCUCGGCGGGGAGCAGUGAUUGGAGAGGGGCUCCCUUGCAGGCCUGGGCUCCUCAGGGGCCAGCACACAUACAAGUUCUCUGCUGUGCCCUGGGAAAACAGUGGAAGAUGGCCCAAGUCCUUGGGCCUCUGCACCUGCGUGGGAGACCUGGAGGAGGCUCCUGGCUCCUGGCUUUGGAUUGGCACAGCUCCAGCCAUUGUGACCAUCUGGGGAGUGAACCAGCAGUUGGAAGACCCCCCCCAACUCCCCGCUGCCUCUCCUUCUCUCUCUGUGUAACUCUGACUU